rnacentral:rRNA from 1 species
UACGUAGGGUGCAAGCGUUGUCCGGAAUUAUUGGGCGUAAAGAGCUCGUAGGCGGUUUGUCGCGUCGGCUGUGAAAACUCGGGGCUCAACCCCGAGCCUGCAGUCGAUACGGGCAAACUAGAGUGCUGUAGGGGAGACUGGAAUUCCUGGUGUAGCGGUGAAAUGCGCAGAUAUCAGGAGGAACACCGGUGGCGAAGGCGGGUCUCUGGACAGUUCCUGACGCUGAGGCUCGAAGGUCAGGGGAGCAAACGGG